rnacentral:rRNA from 1 species
UACGAAGGGGGCGAGCGUUGUUCGGAUUUACUGGGCGUAAAGGGCGCGCAGGCGGUUCUGUUUGUCGGGUGCGAAAGCCCCCGGCUCAACCGGGGAGAGUCGUCGGGGACCGCACCGCUUGAGGGCGGUAGGGGCUGGUGGAAUGCCUGGUGUAGUGGUGAAAUGCGUAGAGAUCAGGCAGAACACCUGGGGCGAAGGCGGCCAGCUGGGCCGUCCCUGACGCUGAGGCGCGAAGGCGUGGGGAGCGAACGGG